AUUCUCUUUUUAUUCUCAUAAUAUUAUUUAUACUCUAUGUGUUAGCGCAAUAAUAUUCUUAACAAAAUUUCGACAAAGUUUUUGAUUCAUCAUCCAAAGCAAUAUUAUCCUGAAGUGGUCUGGAAAUCAUUUUCAUCUGAAAAACAAUAAAUGCACUUUGCUACAGAUAUCAGGCAAAAAAUGCAGUGAACAAAAGUUCGUUCGAAGUGACUACCUCUGAACAAAAUAUUAUUAUGCACACA